rnacentral:rRNA from 1 species
GGGUUGUGAGGUUAAGCGACUAAGCGUACACGGUGGAUGCCCUGGCAGUCAGAGGCGAUGAAGGGCGUGCUAAUCUGCGAUAAGCGCCGGUAAGGUGAUAUGAACCGUUAUAACCGGCGAUACCCGAAUGGGGAAACCCAGUGUGAUUCGUCACACUAUCAUUACGUGAAUACAUAGCGUAAUGAAGCGAACCGGGGGAACUGAAACAUCUAAGUACCCCGAGGAAAAGAAAUCAACCGAGAUUCCCCCAGUAGCGGCGAGCGAACGGGGAGGAGCCCAGAGCCUGAAUCAGCAUGUGUGUUAGUGGAAGCGUCUGGAAAGGCGCGCGAUACAGGGUGACAGCCCCGUACACAAAAGCGCAUGUGUUGUGAGCUCGAUGAGUAGGGCGGGACACGUGGUAUCCUGUCUGAAUAUGGGGGGACCAUCCUCCAAGGCUAAAUACUCCUGACUGACCGAUAGUGAACCAGUACCGUGAGGGAAAGGCGAAAAGAACCCCGGCGAGGGGAGUGAAAAAGAACCUGAAACCGUGUACGUACAAGCAGUGGGAGCACCCUUUGGGGUGUGACUGCGUACCUUUUGUAUAAUGGGUCAGCGACUUAUAUUCUGUAGCAAGGUUAACCGAAUAGGGGAGCCGGAGGGAAACCGAGUCUUAAUUGGGCGUUAAGUUGCAGGGUAUAGACCCGAAACCCGGUGAUCUAGCCAUGGGCAGGUUGAAGGUUGGGUAACACUAACUGGAGGACCGAACCGACUAAUGUUGAAAAAUUAGCGGAUGACCUGUGGCUGGGGGUGAAAGGCCAAUCAAACCGGGAGAUAGCUGGUUCUCCCCGAAAGCUAUUUAGGUAGCGCCUCGUGAAUUCAUCUCCGGGGGUAGAGCACUGUUUCGGCUAGGGGGCCAUCCCGGCUUACCAACCCGAUGCAAACUGCGAAUACCGGAGAAUGUUAUCACGGGAGACACACGGCGGGUGCUAACGUCCGUCGUGAAGAGGGAAACAACCCAGACCGCCAGCUAAGGUCCCAAAGUCAUGGUUAAGUGGGAAACGAUGUGGGAAGGCCCAGACAGCCAGGAUGUUGGCUUAGAAGCAGCCAUCAUUUAAAGAAAGCGUAAUAGCUCACUGGUCGAGUCGGCCUGCGCGGAAGAUGUAACGGGGCUAAACUAUGCACCGAAGCUGCGGCAGCGACACUAUGUGUUGUUGGGUAGGGGAGCGUUCUGUAAGCCUGUGAAGGUGUGUCGUGAGGCAUGCUGGAGGUAUCAGAAGUGCGAAUGCUGACAUAAGUAACGAUAAAGCGGGUGAAAAGCCCGCUCGCCGGAAGACCAAGGGUUCCUGUCCAACGUUAAUCGGGGCAGGGUGAGUCGACCCCUAAGGCGAGGCCGAAAGGCGUAGUCGAUGGGAAACGGGUUAAUAUUCCCGUACUUGGUGUUACUGCGAAGGGGGGACGGAGAAGGCUAUGUUGGCCGGGCGACGGUUGUCCCGGUUUAAGCGUGUAGGUGUGUGUUCCAGGUAAAUCCGGUUCACUUUAACACUGAGGCGUGACGACGAGGCACUACGGUGCUGAAGCAACAAAUGCCCUGCUUCCAGGAAAAGCCUCUAAGCAUCAGGUAACAUCAAAUCGUACCCCAAACCGACACAGGUGGUCAGGUAGAGAAUACCAAGGCGCUUGAGAGAACUCGGGUGAAGGAACUAGGCAAAAUGGUGCCGUAACUUCGGGAGAAGGCACGCUGACACGUAGGUGAAGUGAUUUACUCAUGGAGCUGAAGUCAGUCGAAGAUACCAGCUGGCUGCAACUGUUUAUUAAAAACACAGCACUGUGCAAACACGAAAGUGGACGUAUACGGUGUGACGCCUGCCCGGUGCCGGAAGGUUAAUUGAUGGGGUCAGCGCAAGCGAAGCUCCUGAUCGAAGCCCCGGUAAACGGCGGCCGUAACUAUAACGGUCCUAAGGUAGCGAAAUUCCUUGUCGGGUAAGUUCCGACCUGCACGAAUGGCGUAAUGAUGGCCAGGCUGUCUCCACCCGAGACUCAGUGAAAUUGAACUCGCUGUGAAGAUGCAGUGUACCCGCGGCAAGACGGAAAGACCCCGUGAACCUUUACUAUAGCUUGACACUGAACAUUGAGCCUUGAUGUGUAG